UACAGAGGGUGCAAGCGUUGUUCGGAAUUAUUGGGCGUAAAGGGAGUGUAGGCGGCUUGUUAAGUCUUCUGUGAAAUCUACGGGCUCAGCCUGUAACGUGCAGAGGAAACUGGCGAGCUUGAGUGUCGGAGAGGAUAGGGGAAUACCCGGUGUAGAGGUGAAAUUCGUAGAGAUCGGGUGGAACACCAGUGGGGAAGGCGCCUAUCUGGCUGACAACUGACGCUGAGACUCGAAAGCAUGGGGAGCAAACAGG
rnacentral:rRNA from 1 species